rnacentral:rRNA from 1 species
AGAGUUUGAUCCUGGCUCAGGAUGAACGCUGGCGGCGUGCUUAACACAUGCAAGUCGAACGGAGAUAUCAUUUUCGAAGCGAUUAGUUUACUAAGAGUGGAGAUGUUGAUAUCUUAGUGGCGGACGGGUGAGUAACGCGUGGGUAACCUGCCUUACACUGGGGGAUAACACUUAGAAAUAGGUGCUAAUACCGCAUAAUGAGAGGAGACGCAUGUCUUCUGUCUGAAAACUCCGGUGGUGUAAGAUGGACCCGCGUCUGAUUAGCCAGUUGGAGGGGUAACGGCCCACCAAAGCGACGAUCAGUAGCCGGCCUGAGAGGGUGAACGGCCACAUUGGGACUGAGACACGGCCCAAACUCCUACGGGAGGCAGCAGUGGGGAAUAUUGGACAAUGGGGGGAACCCUGAUCCAGCGACGCCGCGUGAGUGAAGAAGUAUUUCGGUAUGUAAAGCUCUAUCAGCAGGGAAGAAAGAAAUGACGGUACCUGACUAAGAAGCCCCGGCUAACUACGUGCCAGCAGCCGCGGUAAUACGUAGGGGGCAAGCGUUAUCCGGAUUUACUGGGUGUAAAGGGAGCGUAGACGGCAGUGCAAGUCUGAAGUGAAAGGCGGGGGCCCAACCCCCGGACUGCUUUGGAAACUGUGCUGCUGGAGUGCAGGAGAGGCAAGUGGAAUUCCUAGUGUAGCGGUGAAAUGCGUAGAUAUUAGGAGGAACACCAGUGGCGAAGGCGGCUUGCUGGACUGUAACUGACGUUGAGGCUCGAAAGCGUGGGGAGCAAACAGGAUUAGAUACCCUGGUAGUCCACGCCGUAAACGAUGA